CCUACGGGUGGCAGCAGUGAGGAAUAUUGGUCAAUGGGCUUACGCCUGAACCAGCCAAGUCGCGUGAGGGAAGACUGCCCUAUGGGUUGUAAACCUCUUUUGUCAGGGAGCAACGCCGGCUACGUGUAGCCGGACUGAGAGUACCUGAAAAAAAAGCAUCGGCUAACCCCGUGCCAGCAGCCGCGGUAAUACGGGGGAUGCGAGCGUUCUCCGGAUGUAUGGGUUUUAAAGGGUGCGUAGGCGGAAUGCCACGUCAGCGGUAAAAUCCCGGGCCUCAACCUCGAACUGCCUCUGAAACUGGCGGUCUUGAGUGGGCGAGAAGUAUGCGGAAUGCGUGGUGUAGCGGUGAAAUGCAUAGAGAUCACGCAGAACUCCGAUUGCGAAGGCAGCAUACCGGCGCCCUACUGACGCUGAGGCACGAAAGCGUGGGUAUCGAACAGGAUUAGAUACCCUUGUAGUC
rnacentral:rRNA from 1 species